rnacentral:piRNA from 1 species
UGCAUGACUGAUAGCCACAGGAUUAU